rnacentral:rRNA from 1 species
UACGAGUGCCCCAAGCGUUAUCCGGAAUCAUUGGGCGUAAAGGGUGCGUAGGUGGCGCGCUAAGUCAGGUGUGAAAUCUCGGGGCUUAACUCCGAAACUGCAUUUGAUACUGGCGUGCUUGAGGACUGGAGAGGAGACUGGAAUUCAUGGUGUAGCAGUGAAAUGCGUAGAGAUCAUGAGGAAGACCAGUGGCGAAGGCGGGUCUCUGGACAGUUCCUGACACUGAGGCACGAAGGCCAGGGGAGCAAACGGG